UCUUACCAGAAGGGGACGACUAACUACGUGCCAGCAGCCGCGGUAAUACGUAGGUCCCGAGUGUUGUCCGGAUUUAUUGGGCAUAAAGCGAGCGCAGGCGGUUAGAUAAGUCUGAAGUUAAAGGCUGUGGCUUAACCAUAGUACGCUUUGGAAACUGUUUAACUUGAGUGCAAGAGGGGAGAGUGGAAUUCCAUGUGUAGCGGUGAAAUGCGUAGAUAUAUGGAGGAACACCGGUGGCGAAAGCGGCUCUCUGGCUUGUAACUGACGCUGAGGCUCGAAAGCGUGGGGAGCAAACAGGAUUAGAUACCNNGGUAGUCCACGCCGUAAACGAUGAGUGCUAGGUGUUAGACCNUUUCCGGGGUUUAGUGCCGUAGNUAACGCAUNAAGCACUCCGCCUGGGGAGUACGACCGCAAGGUUGAAACUCAAAGGAAUUGACGGGGGCCCGCACAAGCGGUGGAUCAUGUGGUUUAAUUCGAAGCAACGCGAAGAACCUUACCAGGUCUUGACAUCCCUCUGACCGCUCUAGAGAUAGAGUUUUCCUUCGGGACAGAGGUGACAGGUGGUGCAUGGUUGUCGUCAGCUCGUGUCGUGAGAUGUUGGGUUAAGUCCCGCAACGAGCGCAACCCCUAUUGUUAGUUGCCAUCAUUCAGUUGGGCACUCUAGCGAGACUGCCGGUAAUAAACCGGAGGAAGGUGGGGAUGACGUCAAAUCAUCAUGCCCCUUAUGACCUGGGCUACACACGUGCUACAAUGGUUGGUACAACGAGUCGCAAGCCGGUGACGGCAAGCUAAUCUCUUAAAGCCAAUCUCAGUUCGGAUUGUAGGCUGCAACUCGCCUACAUGAAGUCGGAAUCGCUAGUAAUCGCGGAUCAGCACGCCGCGGUGAAUACGUUCCCGGGCCUUGUACACACCGCCCGUCACACCACGAGAGUUUGUAACACCCGAAGUCGGUGAGGUAACCAUUUGGAGCCAGCCGCCUAAGGUGGGAUAGAUGAUUGGGGUGAAGUCGUAACAAGGUAACCAA
rnacentral:rRNA from 1 species